rnacentral:tRNA from 1 species
GUCGGAAUGGUGGAAUUGGUAGACACGCAUGCUUCAGGUGCAUGUGCCUUCGGGUGUGGGAGUUCGAGUCUCCCUUCCGGCA